rnacentral:tRNA from 1 species
GGAAAAAGAGGGAUUC